rnacentral:rRNA from 1 species
GACGAACGCUGGCGGCGUGCUUAACACAUGCAAGUCGAGCGGUAAGGCCCUUUCGGGGGUACACGAGCGGCGAACGGGUGAGUAACACGUGGGUGACCUGCCCUCAGCUCUGGGAUAAGCCUGGGAAACCGGGUCUAAUACUGGAUAUGACUCCAUGACGCAUGUUGUGGGUGGAAAGCCUUGUGCGGCUGAGGAUGGGCCCGCGGCCUAUCAGCUUG